rnacentral:rRNA from 1 species
CAAAAACAUAGCCUACUAUUUAACUUAGGUACAACCCUGCCCUYUGACUUUUAACAGCCGCGGUAUCCUAACCGUGCUAAGGUAGCAUAAUCACUUGCCUAUUAAUUAUAGGCUAGAAUGAACGGGAUCACUCACUUAAACUUAUUUUUAUUUAAAUUUAAAUUAAACUUUAAGUCAAAAUACUAAAUUAAAAAGAAAGACAAAAAGACCCUGAAAACUAUUAGAAAUAAUUAGUUGGGGCAACUAUAGACCACUCUAGCGUCUAUUUUUUUUUAAACUCUUAAAAUCUAAAGUAUCCAGUUACUUCAGGGAUAACAGACUAAUUUUAUUAUUUAGACCCAAUAAAUAAUAAAGAUUGGCACCUCGAUGUUGGCUUAUAUUUCCUUCAUAUAGCAACAUAUAUAGAAGGCAGCUUGUUCAUCUGUUAAAUAUUUACAUGAGGUGAGUUCAAACCGGCGUAA